AUAAUAAUAAAAUAAGUAGUAAUGGAGGUUUACUUCGUAAAAAUAACCUAAGUUUAGGUGGCUACCUUAAUAUAAUCCCAAAAGUAGCUAGGAUACAGCUCAACUCAUGUGAAGGCCAAGUACAUUGCUGUGUCCAAGAACGAAAGACAUAUGUAAAAAGAACAAUAAGAUAGAGAAGUUUUUAUACGUGUAGUAUGUCAAUCCACUUUCAAUAUUGAGAUCAGAAAUCUACAAAAAAAUUUAGCGUCAAAAUUACAUGUAUAAACACAAGUAUAUCUCCUUACGGUUUUCAGAUAUGGAUUUUAGUUUUGGACACGUCAAUCUAAAUGUCCAUUAGGCCACAUAAACAAAAUAGUUGGUUAGCGUCCUCGCCCGCCCACAAAAAAGGCCCUGCUCAGGAUUUUUUUUAUUUUUUAUUUUAAAAAAAUACAACUUUUAUUGAUUCAACGGGCUCUAAUAUAUGUAGUAUUUCUGUUGACUGUAGUCAAUUGUGUUAAUAAGUUACGAAAUUGCGUGCGAAAAUGACGGUAUGAAUCAUAUUUUGAAAUGUAUAAAAUAUAUCUGUACUGCGCAACAAAAUCCAGUUUCGGACCUAAAACCAAGGCGUUAAAAAUUAGUAAUAAUUAAAAAAAA